AAGUCGUAACAAGGUUUCCGUAGGUGAACCUGCGGAAGGAUCAUUAACAAUUGUCCAUUUUCCUUUGCAUAUGGAUGGUUCAAAUCCAUAUCCACCUUCGUGUGCACAUCAUUGACAUGUUUGCUUUGGCAGUUUGCUGGGGGAGAAUCCUUUACCGUUUUUUCUCUGUGGAGGGAAAGAAGAGACAAGAAAAACUCUCUGCCUUUCCUUCCGGCGCUGCCAGAGUUUUUUUCUUUCAUCUUGACAAACUUUUCUUGCUUUUUCUCGAAGCAAGCCUGAAAACAUCAAAUUUUUGGAAGA
rnacentral:misc_RNA from 1 species